UGAAUUGCCUCCUCGCUUGUGCCGGACCUAGGGAUACACACUGAAUGUAAGGUUUCCACUAAUUGUUUAAUUUUAGGCCCCAGGUCCCGAAAUUUUUAAUAAAGUUAAAUUUCGAAUCCUAUUUUUUGUAAAUCUUCCUACCGCUAUCGCCACAGUGGCUUGAACUUCCGAAACAGCCAACAGGGAGCACACUAGUAUGAAAAACAACGAGCUGUCCAUUUUAACAAUUCAAUAACCAGAGCAUACAUUUCUGGCCAAUGUGUUUGUACGAUCCGAAUUCAAGCGUAUUCGUCACCUUUCUACACCUUGCUUAUUUAGAGGGAAAACAAUCUUAAAGUCUAUGGCGAAUAUUAGGGCGUGGUACAAGCCCCUAGGGCGAACACCCAACCACAAUGGAGAAUGACCAAUUACCGUGGCGUCCUCUUCCCGACGCAUCUAUUGUGGAUGAGAGAGAUGUCCCGAGAAUUUCCGUUUAUUUUUUUGCAAGCGAGCAGGGAGCGAGGGACCCAGCACCGAGAAUUUCAGUAUAAACAGAAGUGCGGAAGAAAUAAACAGCUACAGAAUAUUUAGGGACACAAUAAAUGAUUAUAAGCACUGAUGUUUUAUUGGGAUGCUGCCUUGUUAAAUGUUUAUUACUAAUCAUAAAUCAACUGUUUCAACCCUGUCAACCAAUAUCCUCAUUUGUUUUAAUCAUAUGCCGUUUAUUUUUAAUCAUAUGUCUUUAUAUUACGAUAUGUUUUCCUAGUGCUAGAAAUAACAAAUUUUAAUAAAUUUAAAUCACGCACUGUAUUAUACUUUGAACGAAUGCAAAUGUUAACUUAUGUCCAUGAAUAUUCCCAAUAUUCCCAAUAGAGACAUUCCUGGA